CGUUCUGUAAGCCUGCGAAGGUGUGCUGUGAGGCAUGCUGGAGGUAUCAGAAGUGCGAAUGCUGACAUAAGUAACGAUAAAGCGGGUGAAAAGCCCGCUCGCCGGAAGACCAAGGGUUCCUGUCCAACGUUAAUCGGGGCAGGGUGAGUCGACCCCUAAGGCGAGGCCGAAAGGCGUAGUCGAUGGGAAACAGGUUAAUAUUCCUGUACUUGGUGUUACUGCGAAGGGGGGACGGAGAAGGCUAUGUUGGCCGGGCGACGGUUGUCCCGGUUUAAGCGUGUAGGCUGGUUUUCCAGGCAAAUCCGGAAAAUCAAGGCUGAGGCGUGAUGACGAGGCACUACGGUGCUGAAGCAACAAAUGCCCUGCUUCCAGGAAAAGCCUCUAAGCAUCAGGUAACAUCAAAUCGUACCCCAAACCGACACAGGUGGUCAGGUAGAGAAUACCAAGGCGCUUGAGAGAACUCGGGUGAAGGAACUAGGCAAAAUGGUGCCGUAACUUCGGGAGAAGGCACGCUGAUAUGUAGGUGAAGUCCCUCGCGGAUGGAGCUGAAAUCAGUCGAAGAUACCAGCUGGCUGCAACUGUUUAUUAAAAACACAGCACUGUGCAAACACGAAAGUGGACGUAUACGGUGUGACGCCUGCCCGGUGC
rnacentral:rRNA from 1 species